UCAAGUUCAGGGUAUAUGAGUACAUGCGUUCCCUGCUAGAACCUCCAAACCAGUUCUCAAGGUACACUCACAGUAAAAUGGGUUAAUUAAACUUCCAUGACUAAAGACAUAUCCAGCUGUGUGGUGAAGCAUGUGACAGUUUGCCUUUGUU
rnacentral:snRNA from 1 species